rnacentral:rRNA from 1 species
UUUUCUUGGUGAUCCUGCCAGUAGUUAUAUGCUUGUCUCAAAGAUUAAGCCAUGCACGUCUAAGUGCAGGCCACUCUGAUGGUCGAAACUGCGAACGGCUCAGUAAAUCAGUCAUGGUUCAUUGGAAGGUACAAUCCUACAUGGAUAACUGUGGUAAUUCUAGAGCUAAUACAUGCAACGCAAGCUCCGACCUCGCGAGAGGGAAGAGCGCAGUUAUUAGACCAAGACCAAUCGGGCGUUCUUCGUCCGUCAACCUAAUGGUGACUCUGGAUAACACGGUUGAUGAUCGCACGGCCGACGUGCCGGCGACACUUCUUUCAAAUGUCUGACCUAUCAACUCAAGAUGGCAGGGUAACGGCCUGCCAUGGUGCUGACGGGUAACGGGGAAUCAGGGUUCGAUUCCGGAGAGGGAGCCUGAGAAACGGCUACCACAUCCAAGGAAGGCAGCAGGCGCGUAAAUUACCCACUCCCGACACGGGGAGGUAGUGACGAAAAAUAACGAUGCGGGACUCUUUGGAGGCCUCGUAAUCGGAAUGAGUGCACUUUAAAUCCUUGAACGAGGAUCUAUUGGAGGGCAAGUCUGGUGCCAGCAGCCGCGGUAAUUCCAGCUCCAAUAGCGUAUAUUAAAAUUGCUGCGUUUAAAACGCUCGUAGUUGGAUCUUUGGGUGUCUGGGAACGGCUGGUGUCGCUCACUGAGCGUCUACUGCUGUCGACCCACAGCGGCUCGUCUCCGUUUCCAGUCUCGGACCGGCCGGGGAGGCUUCUGGCCACUCGGUCGCGGACGGGGCUGGCGGGGCGGGUCGUCGGGCUCGAGUUUCUCCCACCACCCGUCACUGUCGGCAUUCUCCGUGUGCUCUUAACCGGGUUGCACGGGGUGGCUAGACCUUUUACUUUGAGAAAACAGGAGUGCUCAAAGCAGGCAUUUUUCACUGCCACUGAACCAGUUGUGCAUAGAAUAAUGGAAUAGGACCUCGGUUCUGUUGUGUUGGUCUCAGGAAGACGAGGUAAUGAUUAAGAGAGACAGACGGGGGCAUUCGUAUUGCGUCGGGAGAGGUGAAAUUCUUAGAUCGACGCAGGACGAACAAACGCGAAAGCAUUUGCCAAGAAUGUUUUCCUUAGUCAAGAACGAAAGUCAGAGGUUCAAAGACGAUCAGAUACCGUCGUAGUUCUGACCGUAAACGAUGCCUACUGGCGAUAUGCCACGGUCGUAUCCAAAGGACCUGGCGUGCAGCCCUCCCGGGAAACCUCAAGUCUUUGGGUUACGGGGGUAGUAUGGUUGCAAAGCUGAAACUUAAAGGAAUUGACGGAAGGGCACCACCAGGAGUGGAGCCUGCGGCUUAAUUUGACUCAACGCGGGAAAACUUUCCCGGUCCGGACACUGCAAGGAUUGACAGAUUGAAAGCUCUUUCUUGAUUCGGUGGGUGGUGGUGCAUGGCCGUUCUUAGUUCGUGGAGCGAUUUGUCUGGUUAAUUCUGAUAACGAACGAGACUCUGGCCUCUAAAUAGUCCGUCUGUCGCCCACUCACGGGCUGCGGGCUAGGUCGUCGUCGGGGGAGGGCGCCUGGGUGAUCGCAAGUGAUCCUUGUGCGUUCUCUUUCUUCGGAGGCGUGCCGUUUGAACUUCUUAGAGGGACUAAUGGCUUUCAGCCAUGCGAGAAUGAGCAAUAACAGGUCUGUGAUGCCCUUAGAUGUCCGGGGCCGCACGCGCGCUACACUGGAAGAAUCAACGCGUGUCUCUGACCCGGUCCGAGAGGACUAGGGAAACGUUGAACCUCUUCCGUGGUUGGGACUGGGCAUUGUAAUUAUCGCCCACGAACGAGGAAUUCCCAGUAAGCGCGAGUCACAAGGUCGCGUUGAUUACGUCCCUGCCCUUUGUACACACCGCCCGUCGCUACUACCGAUGGACGUUCGAGUGAGGAGACUGGAUCGGCCUCUAUGCACGACUGGCGGGGCCUCGUGUCACGUCAGUAAGUCUCGGCCGAGAAGAUUUUCGAACUCGGACGUUCUAGAGGAAGU